AGUGAACGCUGGCGGUAGGCCUAACACAUGCAAGUCGAACGGCAGCACAGUAAGAGCUUGCUCUUACGGGUGGCGAGUGGCGGACGGGUGAGGAAUACAUCGGAAUCUACUUUUUCGUGGGGGGUAACGUAGGGAAACUUACGCUAAUACCGCAUACGACCUACGGGUGAAAGCAGGGGAUCUUCGGACCUUGCGCGAUUGAAUGAGCCGAUGUCGGAUUAGCGAGUUGGCGGGGUAAAGGCCCACCAAGGCGACGAUCCGUAGCUGGUCUGAGAGGAUGAUCCGCCCCACUGGAACUGAGACACGGUCCAGACUCCUACGGGAGGCAGCAGUGGGGAAUAUUGGACAAUGGGCGCAAGCCUGAUCCAGCCAUACCGCGUGGGUGAAGAAGGCCUUCGGGUUGUAAAGCCCUUUUGUUGGGAAAGAAAAGCAGCAGGUUAAUACCCCGCUGUUCUGACGGUACCCAAAGAAUAAGCACCGGCUAACUUCGUG
rnacentral:rRNA from 1 species